rnacentral:rRNA from 1 species
AUGCUUAAGGAUGUUGCUAAGUUUCGUGAGAUUGACGUGAUAGUUAAAAGUGCUAAGCAGAUUUGUAGAUUUUUCUACAAUCACAAUAACCUACAUGACAGCAUGAAAAAGAACAUUGGUGGUGAACUCAUAAAACCAAAUGCGACCCGGUUUGGAACGGUGUUCAUGUUCUUGGAGAGUUUCCAUUGUAAGAAAGAUGAGUUUAGGAAAUGGAUGGUGUCCGAUGAUUGGAAGGGAAGUACAUGGAACGGUGCUGCUGAUUAUGUGUUUGCUGAAGAGCUGCUAUCUAGUAAUAUGUGGUGGGCAGCUUUAGAAUGGGUUCUUGCUGUGCUAGAGCCACUCUAUAAAGCCCUUAGAUAUGCUGAUACACAAAAGAGAUGCACCCUAUCUAGAUUCAAGAAGAGUAUGAUGAUAGCCAUACAAAAGUUGGAAAGUCAUCUUGGUGGUGGAUCAAAAAUGUUUCAUAGAGUCAUGAGCAAGGUGUCCAAGAGGAUCGAUGCUAUGCAAGAAGGCACACUAUUGGUUGCAGGUAGUUACAAAACUAACAAAAUUUGUAUUAUGACGCUCUCUUUUCAUGGUUUUAACUUCUUUUGUUCUUCUCCUAUGCAGCUGCUAUCCUUGAUCCUUACACACAUUAUCAGAUCAACAUGA